rnacentral:rRNA from 1 species
CGGAGGAAAAGAAACCAACAGGGAUUGCCUUAGUAACGGCGAGUGAAGCGGCAAAAGCUCAAAUUUGAAAUCUGGCACCUUCGGUGUCCGAGUUGUAAUUUGAAGAAGGUAACUUUGGAGUUGGCUCUUGUCUAUGUUCCUUGGAACAGGACGUCACAGAGGGUGAGAAUCCCGUGCGAUGAGAUGCCCAAUUCUAUGUAAAGUGCUUUCGAAGAGUCGAGUUGUUUGGGAAUGCAGCUCUAAGUGGGUGGUAAAUUCCAUCUAAAGCUAAAUAUUGGCGAGAGACCGAUAGCGAACAAGUACAGUGAUGGAAAGAUGAAAAGAACUUUGAAAAGAGAGUGAAAAAGUACGUGAAAUUGUUGAAAGGGAAGGGCUUGAGAUCAGACUUGGUAUUUUGCGAUCCUUUCCUUCUUGGUUGGGUUCCUCGCAGCUUACUGGGCCAGCAUCGGUUUGGAUGGUAGGAUAAUGACUAAGGAAUGUGGCUCUACUUCGGUGGAGUGUUAUAGCCUUGGUUGAUACUGCCUGUCUAGACCGAGGACUGCGUCUUUUGACUAGGAUGUUGGCAUAAUGAUCUUAAGCCACCCGUCUUGAAACCACGG